GCCAGCGUUGUGUAGUGGUUUGAGUGUUAGACUAAAAUUCUGGAGACCAGGGUUCGAAUCUCCGCUGGAC